rnacentral:lncRNA from 1 species
UCCUUCGUGCGCAGCUCUAUCAACCGAAGAAGCCCACCGAAAAACCGAGACCGUCCCCACGUGGCCAGCUCCACUUUCGUUUCUUCAAAUCAGUUCACCGAAGGCAGCAUCAAUCGGUCAAUUGACCGCAUACUCCCACGACCAGCUGCACCGAAGAUUUCCACGAAGCUGCCCCUUCGUCCUCAGUCUCCAGCAGCAGCGACCCACUCGUUUCUUCCUUCGGCCCAGUCCAGCAGCUCUUCAGUUGGCAGCCUUUGCUGCUUCUCGCACGGCCCAAAUUGUAGCCCAUUCCCGAAGCAUCAGCCCAGCAAAUUUCAAA